GAGUUUGAUCCUGGCUCAGGACGAACGCUGGCGGCGCGCUUAAUGCAUGCAAGUCGAACGAGGCAGCGGCCUUCGGGCCGUUGUCGAGUGGCGAACGGGUGAGUAACACGUGAGAAACCUGCCCCGGAGACCGGGAUAACCAGGGGAAACUCUGGCUAAUACCGGAUGCCCUCGGAUGGUCGCAUGGCCGACUGAGGAAAUGUUCCGGCGCUCCGGGAGGGUCUCGCGGCCUAUCAGCUUGUUGGCGGGGUAACGGCCCACCAAGGCAUCGACGGGUAGCUGGUCUGAGAGGACGAUCAGCCACACGGGGACUGAGACACGGCCCCGACUCCUACGGGAGGCAACAGUGGGGAAUAUUGGACAAUGGGGGAAACCCUGAUCCAGCGACGCCGCGUGGGUGAUGAAGGCCUUCGGGUCGUAAAGCCCUGUCAGGAGGAAAGAACGCUCCUAUAGUAAAUACCUAUAGGAAGUGACGGUACCUCCAAAGGAAGCACCGGCCAACUCCGUGCCAGCAGCCGCGGUAAGACGGAGGGUGCGAGCGUUGCUCGGAAUCACUGGGCGUAAAGGGUGCGUAGGCGGUCCUUCAAGUCUGACGUGAAAGCCCAGGGCUCACCCCUGGAAGUGCGCCAGAAACUGAUGGACUUGAGUACCGGAGGGGAGAGUGGAAUUCCCGGUGUAGCGGUGGAAUGUGUAGAUAUCAGGAAGAACACCAGUGGCGAAGGCGGCUAGCUGGGCCGUGUCUGACACUCAUCCGCGAAAGCGUGGGGAGCAAACAGGAUUAGAUACCCUGGUAGUC
rnacentral:rRNA from 1 species